GUGGUUGCUGUGAUGAGGCUGUAUAUGUGGACUAGAGUUUCUGAUCUCUGGGUUUUUCUCAAAACCAGGAUUUGAAGACCACCCCUUGGCUGUCUGAGCUCAU
rnacentral:snoRNA from 1 species